rnacentral:rRNA from 1 species
UGGGGAAUUUUGGACAAUGGGCGAAAGCCUGAUCCAGCAAUGCCGCGUGCAGGAAGAAGGCCUUCGGGUUGUAAACUGCUUUUGUACGGAACGAAACGGUCUGCCCUAAUACGGUGGGCUAAUGACGGUACCGUAAGAAUAAGCACCGGCUAACUACGUGCCAGCAGCCGCGGUAAUACGUAGGGUGCGAGCGUUAAUCGGAAUUACUGGGCGUAAAGCGUGCGCAGGCGGUUAUGUAAGACAGUUGUGAAAUCCCCGGGCUCAACCUGGGAAUUGCAUCUGUGACUGCAUAGCUAGAGUACGGUAGAGGGGGAUGGAAUUCCGCGUGUAGCAGUGAAAUGCGUAGAUAUGCGGAGGAACACCGAUGGCGAAGGCAAUCCCCUGGACCUGUACUGACGCUCAUGCACGAAAGCGUGGGGAGCAAACAGG